rnacentral:tRNA from 1 species
UUCUAGUAGCUUAACAUAAAGC